rnacentral:rRNA from 1 species
GAUGAACGCUAGCUACAGGCUUAACACAUGCAAGUCGAGGGGAAACGGCAUUGAGUGCUUGCACUCUUUGGACGUCGACCGGCGCACGGGUGAGUAACGCGUAUCCAACCUUCCCAUUACUGUGGGAUAACCUGCCGAAAGGCAGACUAAUACCGCAUAGUCUUCGAUGACGGCAUCAGAUUUGAAGUAAAGAUUUAUCGGUAAUGGAUGGGGAUGCGUCUGAUUAGCUUGUUGGCGGGGUAACGGCCCACCAAGGCGACGAUCAGUAGGGGUUCUGAGAGGAAGGUCCCCCACAUUGGAACUGAGACACGGUCCAAACUCCUACGGGAGGCAGCAGUGAGGAAUAUUGGUCAAUGGACGGAAGUCUGAACCAGCCAAGUAGCGUGCAGGAUGACGGCCCUAUGGGUUGUAAACUGCUUUUGUAUGGGGAUAAAGUUAGGGACGUGUCCCUAUUUGCAGGUACCAUACGAAUAAGGACCGGCUAAUUCCGUGCCAGCAGCCGCGGUAAUACGGAAGGUCCAGGCGUUAUCCGGAUUUAUUGGGUUUAAAGGGAGCGUAGGCUGGAGAUUAAGUGUGUUGUGAAAUGUAGACGCUCAACGUCUGACUUGCAGCGCAUGCUGGUUUCCUUGAGUACGCACAACGUUGGCGGAAUUCGUCGUGUAGCGGUGAAAUGCUUAGAUAUGACGAAGAACUCCGAUUGCGAAGGCAGCUGACGGGAGCGCAACUGACGCUUAAGCUCGAAGGUGCGGGUAUCAAACAGG